UCUGCUUACCAUGAAAGCUAUAUCAUCCUCUACCCAUAAUUUUUUCACUACUUCGUUCAUCUUUUUCUGUAUUUGUUUUACUUCUCAAUUUUUUUUUCUUUCUCGCUCUCAAAAAAAUCAAAACACAAAUCUAUUGGUCAUUCCUUUUUCUUUUUUUGAUUUCAAUUCUUUUUCCCGAUCUCCAACUCAUGGUUAUUCACUACAAGUUCCUUUUUGGUUCGAUUGGGUUUGGAGAAGGAAUAUGUGUUUCUUGGUCUCCUUUCUUGAUUUCUCAUCUUUGACUUCGGUUUUGAUUCUUGAAUUUGGCCACUUGCAAUGGAUUCUUGAUUUCCUCAUUUUUUUUCUAUCCCUUUACGAACCCUAGCUACCAUCUUUUCCUCUGGUUUUUUGCUCAUUUGAGUCGCGAUUCGUGAAACCACCACCACGACCACCAAUCAAUUCCUCUCUAUGUCCACAACAAAAACCCUAAACAUUUGUCAUCGUCGCCGCGCUAGUGAUUUUCGACCACUGUGAUCCGCCAUGCCAACGAUCUCCGACGAUCGUGCUCCGCCGCGACAACGAUUUUCAAUCGUCAUUGCAUUUGGAUGCUUAUGACGUUGUUCUAUUGGAGCGACUGUCAUGGAGACGCUGGAAGAAGUACUAAGGGCCUUGUAGUUGGUUGAAGACAUCUAGGAGUUAUACACCUCGGCUGCACCAUUUCUCUUGAUUGUUUUCUUGCUUAUCAACCUUGUAUUUUCUAGUUUCAUUAUCAUUUGAUAUUUUGAUGUAACUUUAUAUUGUCCUCUUCAAGCCACAAGUGUUGUGAAUAUACUUCACUUCCAACUUGUAGGGGAUAUUAGAGAUGUAGAUAGUGUUGUGAAUAUACUUCACUUCCACC